AGAAUCAACGCUGGCGGCGUGCCUAACACAUGCAAGUCGAACGAGAAAGUGGAGCAAUCCAUGAGUAAAGUGGCGCACGGGUGAGUAACACGUGACUAACCUACCUUUUAGUGGGGGAUAACCUAGGGAAACCUGGGCUAAUACCGCAUAACACUUACGAGUCAAAGCAGCAAUGCGCUGAAAGAGGGGGUCGCGGCCGAUUAGCUAGUUGGCGGGGUAAUGGCCCACCAAGGCAGUGAUCGGUAUCCGGCCUGAGAGGGCGCACGGACACACUGGAACUGAAACGCGGUCCAGACUCCUACGGGAGGCAGCAGUGGGGAAUUUGCGCAAUGGGGGAAACCCUGACGCAGCAACGCCGCGUGGAGGAUGAAGUCCCUUGGGACGUAAACUCCUUCGAUCGGGACGAUAAUGACGGUACCGGAAGAAGAAGCCCGGCUAACUUCGUGCCAGCAGCCGC
rnacentral:rRNA from 1 species